AUUGAACGCUGGCGGCGUGCCUAACACAUGCAAGUCGAGCGGUAACAGGCGUAGCAAUACGUGCUGACGAGCGGCGGACGGGUGAGUAAUGCUUAGGAAUCUACCUAGUAGUGGGGAACAACCCGGGGAAACUCGGGCUAAUACCGCAUACGCCCUUCGGGGAAAGGCGGGGAGUCGCAAGACCUCGCGCUAUUGGAUGAGCCUAAGUCGGAUUAGCUAGUUGGUAGGGUAACGGCCUACCAAGGCGACAAUCCGUAGCUGGUCUGAGAGGACGACCAGCCACACUGGGACUGAGACACGGCCCAGACUCCUACGGGAGGC
rnacentral:rRNA from 1 species